rnacentral:rRNA from 1 species
AUGGAUCCAGUAGAGGUGCUCAAUGUUAGGUUUCACUAUGGAGGGCAGUUUAUUCGUAUUGGGUCAUCUCUUGAUUAUGUUGGGCGAGAUACUGCAAUGUCACAGAUAGAGAGGGAUAAGUUGUCACUGCCAGAGCUCAGAGGAUAUUUAGGAGAUCAUUUGACAGUCAAAGACAUCAUGAAGUUGUAUUUUCUAAUGCCAGGAAGAGAGUUGGUUAAUGGACUAGUGUUUCUAUACACUGAUGAAGGUUGCCUGAAGAUGUCAGAGUACAUUACAGAUGGAGGGGUUGCUGAUGUUUUUGUGGAGUACAAUGGUGAGCAAGAUGAACCAGAGGCAGAAGAUAGUGGCUCUGAUUUUGAAGAAGAU